rnacentral:lncRNA from 1 species
CAAGGGAGGAAGAGAUUUCCAUUGGGAGAGUCACACUGAAAAUAGAAAGCCUGCCUGCCCCUGAAAUACCGGGACCUAAGCCCCUCCUCCUCUGGCUGCCUUCAAUGAGCUCCUUUCACUGCAAUUAAAGCAACCAAGACAAAGCUCCUCCUCAUUCAUGCCUUUUGGGAUCCUGAUCUUUGCUUUCAGGAAGCAACUAACAUCCUCCCCCUUACUGUUAGAUGACUUGCAUGUGAAGGUUGGAGUGGGAUUUCCUGGAUAUUAAAUCCUAGUCUCAGUACACGAAGAAAUCACAACACCGUGGAGCUGCCGACCCUAAGCCCCGUGUCACUCAUUUCCUUUAUUAGUAGUUUGAAAAUUGCAUAUAGCAUGGUUUGAGUAUAUUCACCUUCUCUCUCCCAACUCUUCCUAGACUCACCCCCUUUUUUUUCCCCAUUCACUUCUGGGUACUUGCUUUUUAUUGUCAUGUGAUGUAGAAUUACAAAUUACUUAUUGGUGGCAAUACAGGAUAUACAACUAGGACAUUAUCUGUAAGA